UUCUGACCGUAAACGAUGCCAACUAGCGAUCCGCCGGCGGCUUCUCGGCCCUGGUGGGGAGCUUCCCGGAAACGAAAGUCUUCCGGUUCCGGGGGAAGUAUGGUUGCAAAGCUGAAACUUAAAGGAAUUGACGGAAGGGCACCACCAGGAGUGGAGCCUGCGGCUUAAUUUGACUCAACACGGGAAAACUCACCCGGCCCGGACACCGUGAGGAUUGACAGAUUGAUAGCUUUUUCAUGAUUCGGUGGUUGGUGGUGCAUGGCCGUUCUUAGUUCGUGGAUCGAUUUGUCUGGUUUAUUCCGAUAACGAGCGAGACUCCAGCCUACUAACUAGUGCGGGCAUUGCCUCUGUGCUUGUCACUUCUUAGAGGGAUUGGCUGCGUCUAGCGGCACGAAACGGAGCAAUAACAGGUCUGUGAUGCCCUUAGAUGUCCGGGGCUGCACGCGCGCUACACUGGCAAAGGCAGCGUGCUUGUCCGCCUCCGAAAGGAGCCGGUAAACCCUUGAAAAUUUGCCGUGAUUGGGAUCGGAAAUUGCAAUUAUUUUCCGUGAACGAGGAAUUCCUAGUAAGUGCGAGUCAUCAGCUCGCGUUGAUUACGUCCCUGCCCUUUGUACACACCGCCCGUCGCUGCCUAGAACUGAGCCAUUUCGAGAAUAUUCGGGAUCGCUGGUUGCGCGUCCUUCGGGGCACGCCUCUGGCAAGAGAACGAWCGUAAUCGCAGUGGCUUGAACCGGGCAAAAGU
rnacentral:rRNA from 1 species